ensembl:lncRNA
GGAGGCCUUAAAUUACAGAGUUCCCAUAGUUACUUAAGGUCAUACAAAGUACAGAGUUAGUUAGUAACUAUACAUUUUAAGGGAGAUACAUUUGACUGAGAUAAGACAGGGCAUGGGCUUACAGGGUUACAGAGUCACUGGGUCUGUCAGUUAUCCCCAGGGCUGGGGGAUCUUUAUGACCAGCAAUUAGCAAAGAAAUGUUGACAAGAGUGGUAGACAGUUAUCUCUCCUUCUCUGAGAGCAGGGGAUCAGGAGCCAUUCAUGGCACUCCUGACUUAAGGCAUUAAAUUUUCCUUUAUCAUUAGAGGUUCCCUAAGUUUUUAAACUUUUAUUAAUUUGAAUUUUUGGUCCUUUAUUGAUGUAGCUGUUGUCUUUUAGUUGGGCAAAGCCAUUGCCCUCUUGAACAGAACAACUGUGAUCAUGCACAGAAGACUUCCAUGAAAUACAGCCCAUUAACUUUCCCUGCAGAGGGAAGAAAACACUGUUGGGGAUCAUGGACUUUCAUGAGAUUCUCAUCAAGCCCCCACCCCCACCCCAUGGUUUUAUAAGAAGUGAACAGUCAAUAGUGAUGGGGAUGGGAACUCUGGUACCUUCACUUUCAGUAGUGUAGCUGUGCUUAUAAGUUGUCUAGAUGACUUCCCAGUGGUACCAGGCUUUGAGUCACCCAGGUAUUUAUGGGUUUACCAAGAUAGAGCUGGACAGAGUUCUUUACUCAGCUGGUACCCACUCUAUCUGGGGUAACAAAGCAUUUUUUUACACCUCCCCAGGGAAACCACGAAACACCAUCCCUCCAGUAUAUUUCCUGGGCACUUGUCCUUUGCACGAUACUGAGCUUGAAGGGAUCAGCUCCCCAUUUCAGCAGCCAUAACAGCCGAACAUGUGCAUGUUUGACCUUGCCUUGGUCACUAAGAGGUCAGAUGCCUACCUCGUGGCAAGGAACCAAUUAGAAGUUAGCUGGUGGUGCUAUGCUUUACGGCUCUGGGUGUGCUUUACGGACAAGUGCACAGCAAUGAUGUGCGGAGCAUAGCAACCACCCUGGGAGGGCCUAUGGGCCAUAACAACCAGUUGGCCAAUCAACACAGGGCAAGCCCUCCAAGCCUGGAGGCACACCAAUCCUGAGCCUGUGUGUACCCCUAGACACUCCCCUUAUGCUGCCCUAUAAAAUCUCUAUGCAGUCACUUCGAGCUGUCUUUUCUAGCCAUCCGCCAUGGCAGGUGGAUUAAAGACCUGAGCUAACAUGGGGUUAGCUUGUUAAACAACUAUAAUAAAGCCUCGUGCAGUUUGCAUCGAGCUUUCGAAUCUGCCUGGUGAUUGGGGUGACCUCGGUCCUGGGCUGAGAUCCUGGAGGCCUGAGCUUCUGGGGGUCUUACAAGCUGAGCAACUGGGACUGAGAGGACAGGAAGGGCUCCACUACCAGAAGAGAAACCUCUCCAUCUCUCAUGGAAGGAAGCUUUCCCACAGACCUCCUUCACUUACAAUCUGCAUCUCCUGGGCCUCCUUCCUUUCCCACUUAUCUGCAUGUCAAAUCCUCUUCCCAUCAGGCCAUCCAUCUGUCCCCUGGGAACUUCUCUGAAUCUCCCACAGCCUAUAGUAGAAUGGAUGUCAUAGAGCAGAAGCUGAAUAAAUAUUUAUGGAAUGACCGACAGAAUAUAAUUACUCCCAGCAAAGCAUAUUUCCUUUAUUUAGAUUUAUGUGAGUGUGAUGUCUGAAAUCAUGUAUGGGAACUUUUGUCAGGCAAUAGUGACAGAAAAUACAACCCAAAUCAUAUCAGUGAAGGAAAGAGAAUGUAUUGUCUCCCAUAACUAGGACAUUUAUAAGCACAGCCUCUGUUGGACCCAGGGGCUCAAAUAACACAAAAAUUGGUUUCUUUCUCUUGUCCUCAACCUACCCUUCUUGGCAUCAAAUUCAGAUUCUAUUCUCAUGAAACCAAGAUGGCACCAACAGUAUCGAACUUUCACAGAUCCCAAACCUGAUAUAGAGUAGAAGAAAUGGAAGAAAAAGAGGUAGAGGAGGAGACCAAGGAAGACUAUCUAGACUGGCUAAUUAGUCUCAGUGCUUGGCUGGCUCAUGGGGACAUUCUGAGUUGGGGGAUGAGUAUUCUGACUGUCCAGACUGGGUCAUGUGACUCUGUUGAGGGGAGGCUGGAUCCCCAAACAUAAUCAGUGUACUCUCUCUAGAAGAAGAAAGGCUGGGUUAGGGAGACAGGAGUGCAUCCCAUUGCAACCCUGGCCUGGAACUCCAAGCAUUCCCUUCAAGAUAUAUAUAUAUAUAUAAUAUAAAUAUAAAAUAUAUAAAUAUAAAAUAUAAAAUAUAAAUAUAAAAAUAUAAAUAUAUAAAUAUAUAAAUAUCUUUGGUUUCUCCCUGAGCUUGGACAGCAGAUCUGCACCAAAGUCUACAAAGGACAAUACCCCUGUCACAAUACAAAUCAUGUGUGGCCCACAAAUUUGAAUCUACCUCUACCCUACCUACCUCAGCUGCUUAUGGUAGAUGAGUUGGCUGGUGUACAGCUGGUGUGGCAAGCAAAGGCCAGAAUGCAUUUCUCCUGUGCAGACUGAGAUGGUGUGGGCAGGACUUCCCUUGCCUUCCAUUCACCCCACUGUAAAUUAUAGAACAGCAAAAAAAAGACAGCUUUAACAUGCAUUGCUGACCCAAAGUGAAUGGUCCCCUGUGGCUCACUUCCUUUUCUGUAAAAUGGGAAUGAGAAUCUCAGGUUAGCAGAGAUGCUGCAAGGAUGGAACAAACAAAUGGUGGCUAUGCCUGUGCGGCAUUACCUCCAUGAGGUUAAUUAAAGAAAAAUUACUUCAGUUGCAGGCAGCAGCAUUCCAUGGCCUGGGUUCCUGGACUGGGUUAAAAGGAGAUCUUGU